rnacentral:tRNA from 1 species
GAGGGUAUAGCCCAGUUGUAGAGCAUGUGCUUAGCAUGUACAUGGUUCCGGGUUCAAUCCCCAGCACCUCCA